GAUGAACGCUAGCUACAGGCUUAACACAUGCAAGUCGAGGGGCAGCAGAUCGAAAGCUUGCUUUUGAUGCUGGCGACCGGCGCACGGGUGAGUAACGCGUAUCCAACCUUCCCCAUCGUAGGGCACAGCCCGGCGAAAGUCGGAUUAAUUCCCUAUGUUGUUCAGAGAGGACAUCUGACCUGGCCGAAAGAUUCAUCGCUAUGGGAUGGGGAUGCGUCUGAUUAGGUUGCAGGCGGGGUAACGGCCCACCUGGCCGACGAUCAGUAGGGGUUCUGAGAGGAAGGUCCCCCACAUUGGAACUGAGACACGGUCCAAACUCCUACGGGAGGCAGCAGUGAGGAAUAUUGGUCAAUGGACGGAAGUCUGAACCAGCCAAGUAGCGUGCAGGAAGACGGCCCUAUGGGUUGUAAACUGCUUUUAUCAGGGGAUAAAGUGAGGUAUGUAUACCUUUUUGCAUGUACCUGAUGAAUAAGGACCGGCUAAUUCCGUGCCAGCAGCCGCCGUAAUAC
rnacentral:rRNA from 1 species